rnacentral:rRNA from 1 species
GACGAACGCUGGCGGCGUGCUUAACACAUGCAAGUCGAACGGAAAGGCCCUGCUUUUGUGGGGUGCUCGAGUGGCGAACGGGUGAGUAACACGUGAGUAACCUGCCCUUGACUUUGGGAUAACUUCAGGAAACUGGGGCUAAUACCGUAUAGGAGCUCCUGCUGCAUGGUGGGGGUUGGAAAGUUUCGGCGGUUGGGGAUGGACUCGCGGCUUAUCAGCUUGUUGGUGGGGUAGUGGCUUACCAAGGCUUUGACGGGUAGCCGGCCUGAGAGGGUGGCCGGCGACAUUGGGACUGAGAUACGGCCCAGACUCCUACGGGAGGCAGCAGUGGGGAAUAUUGCACAAGGGGCGGAAGGCUGAUGCAGCAACGCCGCGUGCGGGAUGACGGCCUUCGGGUUGUAAACCGCUUUCGCCUGUGACGAAGCGUGAGUGACGGUAAUGGGUAAAGAAGCACCGGCUAACUACGUG